rnacentral:lncRNA from 1 species
GGGCUUACUACCGAUAUGUCUGUUACUUUAUAAAGGAGUGACCCGAGAAGGUCGGACUUUAGUAAUGACCGGUUACUUUAGCAUAACCCGUUGGUCAUUAUAGUUUGACCAGUAACACUCCGCAGACCCUUAUUUUGCGCGGAUAUAGAAUAUAUUUUCACCGAUUCAGAAUCCUGGAUAAAAGAAUUGAAGACAAGUUUGAUAUUAAAAUUAGAAUUUAUACGUGUAUUAAGUAAUACCCUAGGAAUUAUUAAUAAAUGGAUUAUAACCCUCACGAGAGAGUAGUGACAGUGCGCUCAACUCCGUAGAAGACACGCAGUCUUUUGAAAUCCCCGAGAAGCAGUCUAGUUCCAGCAGCACUUUGGAAAGCGAUCCAAAUAACAGCAACAGUUAUCAUCUAUUAGAAGAAGGCGUGAUACUGUCUUGCGAAAAUAGCCCAGAAAAAUUCGGAGAAGGCCUUCCUUGUUAUUUAAGGGAAGACCACUACAACCAGCUCGGUGCCCUUCGUUGCCGUAAUUGUAAUCCGGAAGACUGGAUGAAUUGGUAAGAGAAUUAAGCUCCGAUAAAAGAUGGAAGAAAUUAUAAGAGCGCUCCUGGAGCAAAACGUUUCGUCUGAUCAAUUUUAUGGAUUUAUGAUCGAUUACGGACUCCAAGAGGAGCCCUUUGUACAAGAAGUUUUACAACAACUGAUCGCGGACGAAGCGUCUUCAAUACAGACACUGUACCCUCAAUGGACCGAAGAAGACGCGGACAAUUUAUUAAAUAUGUUGAAAUCCCCUGAAAAGUACCCGGAUACUGAAACACGCUCUGUUUUGUAAGUCAAUUUUUAAAUCAUUGCUGUAGAAAUUUCAGACAUGUAUUGAGUUAUGAUAUAUUCAUUCAUUCAUUCAGUUGAUCUUUAAAA